CCUACGGUGAGGCAGCAGUGGGGAAUAUUGGACAAUGGGCGAAAGCCUGAUCCAGCCAUGCCGCGUGUGUGAAGAAGGCCUUCGGGUUGUAAAGCACUUUCAGUGGGGAAGAAAGCCUUGGGGCUAAUACCCUCGAGGAAGGACAUCACCCACAGAAGAAGCACCGGCUAACUCCGUGCCAGCAGCCGCGGUAAUACGGAGGGUGCGAGCGUUAAUCGGAAUUACUGGGCGUAAAGCGCGCGUAGGCGGUCUGAUAAGCCGGUUGUGAAAGCCCCGGGCUCAACCUGGGAACGGCAUCCGGAACUGUCAGGCUAGAGUGCAGGAGAGGAAGGUAGAAUUCCCGGUGUAGCGGUGAAAUGCGUAGAGAUCGGGAGGAAUACCAGUGGCGAAGGCGGCCUUCUGGACUGACACUGACGCUGAGGUGCGAAAGCGUGGGUAGCAAACAGGAUUAGAUACCCUUGUAGUC
rnacentral:rRNA from 1 species